AGCGGGCGGGGCCUGCACGGGCAGCCUGGCUGUGGGGGUCUCACGCCUUUGGCCCUGCAAGCUGAAGCUCUGCGCCUGGGUCCGGGAGUAGGCGAGGCUCUCAGCAGGGACUUGCAAAGCUAAUGGCAAGGUGCUGGCCCUCCUGUUCGUGGGGAAGGGGGGACGUGACCCGCGUGUACCCCAAGGUCAGAUACCGAGGGCAAGUCACAAGACCCCAACUGCCCUGAUUUGUAAGCAAGUCUGACACCGAGGCAGCGUGAGGCUGACAAGCUGCAAUGGGAACUUCAAGAGGAGAGCAGGAGGAGAGAGAACCUGCGCAGAAUAGCUGAUGCUACGGAGAAGAGAAGUUGGAGAAACUGCCCCCUUCAUCCAGGAGGUAAUAAAUAAUGUAAAUUUCUUGCUCAGCAAGGCGCUUCUCUCCUUAGGAUGAACUCAAAUGGGAUCACCCAAUCCCUUUUCCACACUCGCAGCAAGCAUUCACUGGACAGCAGGCUCCACUCCACUAAGGCGGAGGUCAGAGUUCAGAGCUGUGCAAAGCAAGCCCCUUUGCCUGCAGCCAGGGGUGACUGAACUAUAUUAGUUCACCCCUUAUAUUCGUGAUUCCUUUAAAUGUUGCACUGUUGUGUAGCUGACUUGUUAGCAUGUUUAAUUCUGGGCUGGAAACGUCCACCCCAGUAGCUGGGCUUACAUGCAGUGUGGGCACUGCAGGGCAGUAUUAGGGGUUUCCCAGGUCCUUGGAGUGCCCCAGCCCCAGAAGCUUCCCAAUAUGAGAGAGGAGCAGACCUCACCCCCUCCCACUAAGGAGAGAAGCUGCUUACCCUGUUCACUGCCCUCAUAGUGGUCAGAGAUAGUAUCACUUUCACACACAUAGCGAGUGCUCUGCUAACCAUCAUCUGCUCCUGGAGCAGGUUCAUAAUAGGUGCCCUGGAGAGCCCUCCUCUGGGGUCCGCAUCCUUUGCCUCUUGUCAAGGGCUGCGGGCUAUGCCGCACACAGCUGCAGAGUGAAACUUACAAAAGUCAAAUAAAUUUAAUUCUGUAGUCAUGGAAUCAUAGAAGCUGAAAGUGGAACUGAUCUGUCACAUUACCUAUCCCAUCCCCGUGGUUAGUGCUCUGCUAUAGACUGAGGGAGAGAGAACAGCAAGUGCAUGGGGACAGGUGCUGAAGGACUGGCCAUAUGGGAAAUAAAAAGAGUAGGCGAGAGGUUUCCUCAUGCAGGACAAUCCUGCUGAGAGCAGGAAUGUCGGAAGAUAUGCAACCUUACAGGAGACAAAAAGAAGAACAGGAGUACUUGUGGCACCUUAGAGACUAACAAAUUUAUUAGAGCAUAAGCUUUC